AACGAACGCUGGCGGCAGGCCUAACACAUGCAAGUCGAGCGGACCCUUCGGGGUUAGCGGCGGACGGGUGAGUAACGCGUGGGAAUAUGCCCUUCUCUACGGAAUAGUCCUGGGAAACUGGGGGUAAUUCCGUAUACGCCCUUUGGGGGAAAGAUUUAUCGGGGAAGGAUUAGCCCGCGUUGGAUUAGGUAGUUGGUGGGGUAAUGGCCUACCAAGCCGACGAUCCAUAGCUGGUUUGAGAGGAUGAUCAGCCACACUGGGACUGAGACACGGCCCAGACUCCUACGGGAGGCAGCAGUGGGGAAUCUUAGACAAUGGGGGCAACCCUGAUCUAGCCAUGCCGCGUGAGUGAUGAAGGCCUUAGGGUUGUAAAGCUCUUUCAGCUGGGAAGAUAAUGACGGUACCAGCAGAAGAAGCCCCGGCUAACUCCGUG
rnacentral:rRNA from 1 species